CGUUUUCAUUGGGUUUGUAAAAUCUGUUUUUAUGCAUGUUUUGGUCUGAGUUUUUGUUGCAUUGACACAGUUUUGACCAGCAGGAGUCACCAGCGUGUGGUGUUUGCUUCGAAAUGGUUCGUUUCUCCCAUCACUACUACCCUUCUAACACUUUCUGUCAUCCAAUCAGGUUUCAGCUCAGCCUCUAAGUCCCUCCUCUCAGCAAGCAGCCCAGGAGCUUAGCUCCGCGCAGCUGACCCCUGUGACCCUCGCUCAGGGCCAGCCUCUACAGACGUCCACCAGUCAGACACAAGGUGCUGCACAGCAUGCGUACCUUCCCAGCAACUGGAACUACAGGAGUUAUCCUGAGAUCCAGAUGAUGGCUCUUCCUCAUACUCAGUAUGUGAUAGCAGAGGCCAGCACCCCCGUCACUGCUGCCGUCAACAGCAGUCAGGUCAAAACGACACACUAUGUGAUCGCAGAAGGACAGACGGAGCUGGAUGGUAAGCAGGUGAAUGUCCCGUCCACCGCAGCACAGGUUCACCCCGACCCACUGGAGCAGCCGGCCGUCAGUCAGCAGACCACCACGCAGUACAUCAUCACCACCACCACCA
rnacentral:lncRNA from 1 species